rfam:Trichobilharzia regenti genome assembly, scaffold: TRE_scaffold0026245
GUACUGAUGAAGAGUCCCAAACUAGGGCGAAACAGUUGUCCAGUAC